AGGAGCCAGGAGACUGGGCCUCUAUCACUGCUGGGGGAGCAGGACAUUGAGAGCAUGGCAUCUUGGGAUACUGGAGGAUGGAAAACUGAUCAUUUUAUCUCCCUGGAGGAGACUAAACUUACCUUAACACAAGGUAGCACGGCCCAAAUUUAACCCUCACCUGAAGUGGUGUAGCUUUGAUACACUCACGGGGUACUUAGCAUGAGUUAAUGAGCUUAUCCUAACAUGAGCUAGGUUGCAUGGCCCAGAAUAAACCCUCACCUGAAGUGGAGCCACUUUGAUACGCUCAUGGGGUACUUACCCUGAGUUAAUGAGCUUUAAUGUGGAGCUGUUGGCACUGCGAGGGCCUUUUGUAAGCUCUAGGUAUAACGUAGCUUCACCUUUAUGCAUUCACUGGAGUCUGGGAGCAGGAGCUCCCCAGCCUGGGAGGCUUGGUAACCUAUACGCAGCUCCAUCACACUGAUAACUCACCUGUGUUGUUGCUCAGCUCUGGAGAUCCAGGAGGUCUUCAAGGUCCAGUGUCUCCUCGCUCUCUGGGAAGAGCAGCAAUGCACCACAGGGCUGUGUUGUACCUGAGAGCCUAGACUUUAAAGACAACUCAUGCUCUUCUGAUUCCCUUCCUGCCUCCCCCUGUGCUAUGGAGUUAAACCCUACCUUUGAGUCCGCUCAGCUGAGGAGUCAGAAGCAGAGCCAGGGGGUUGUACCCCAAGAAGAGAAGGCCUUCCUUCUCCAGACAACACAACCCCGGCCUCCGCAAAAACAAACCCCAAAUGUGGAACAAACAGCAGUGGAGGCAGGGGAUGCAGGAAGGCUCUAGGGCUUGUGGUUGGGAUGAGCAUGUGAUGCAAACAGGAUCUCCUUCUGUCUGUCCCAAGGGACUGGUGAGCCGUGCAGGAGCCCACUGCCCUGCUGGCACCCUUCCCUCGGGGCUUCUAGCAGCAAAGCUGCUAAAUGAGGAAAAUUGCUGCAGGUCUCUGGAAUCGCUCCAUGCUUUUGAAGCCCUCAAAUGCAAAGGGUUGCAGCCUCUUUGCACACAGCAUUGCUAUGCCAGAUACUCCUCUGAAAUUUGGGGGGCUUCAGGCAACCCUGCCUGUGUCCCAGCCUUCCCUGUAACUCGGGCUGUGUGUGACACUGCUCUGAAUUAAACUCCACAGCUCUUGCUCCCAGUACAUCCUCCUCUAUGCAGCUGCGCUGCUGUGACUCCCAGCUACCGUGCAGCGCACUCGAAAGCAAAAGUCACUCAUUUUGCAGCUGUCCGUCUGUCUCCAUGCACCACUCUGGCUGCUUGAUGUUGCAGGGAAAGUCCUCUUGGCGUGUGCACUUAAUCAACUUGUCACAACCGGCAGACGGGUCAAGGGGGAGAACACUUAAUAAAUAGCCAUGGUCAGGACUAAUGAUGUAGGGACCGAUCUGCGAGACCCGGUAUCCUCAUCUCUAAGACUAGCCAGCACCAGACUGCAACAACCUCUGCACAAGGUGAUUAUGAGCUAAGAUUUGUCCAAAUGCCAAUGCAGCUCAUGCCCUGAAAUGAGAGGGUUUCUAUCCUUUCCAGCAUUUCUUGUGACUUCAGUACUUGGGGAUGCUGUUCUGCAUGGUCUCGUUUCCCAUAGAGACAUCCAAUCCCUCUUUUGGGAGCCUGGCUCGGUUCUUGCUCUCGGUGGUAUUCAGUGGCAAUGAGGUGCACGGCUCAUUUGCACAUGGUGUGGACAAACAGGAGGCAGGGCCAGGUGGUACCUUUAAGACUAACCCAUUCAGAAAGCCGUGGGCUUUGCUCUGCCACAAACGACUCCCUCCGAUGCUAGGAAUGGGCUGGUGGAAAGAAAUGUAGAAGGGAAAGGGAUAGAGGUAGGGGGCAGAGCAAAGAGAGGUAAUACAGGGCUGGAUUAGAGGAACAAGGCAGUUAACCUUGAACACCGGUGGGAAGGACACCGAAGUAAACAGCUAGCCCAGGGAAUGCAAUAAGAGACCACAGCCCCGGCUGAGACCAAGGUUAACACCAUCCUGUCUGUGGAUGGUUUCUUCUUCUGCAAUUUCAUAGACCCAUUGGUUGCUAAAAUUUGUUCUUUACUCUUAAAGCCAGUGAUGAAAAGCCCAGGGAAGCUGGACAGGCUUUUAUGUCUGGGAUUGAUGUUGAAUUGGUGUCCAUUCAUUCUUUUAUGCAGCUGCUGCCUUGUCAGGCAAAGAUUUUCCUUUGCUCCAGGGGCUGGAGGAGUGGAGGUGGCUCCUGUGAACUGCUUGCCAGCUCCUCUCCCUUCCCCAGCCAGUUAUGGAGCAAGCUCUGCUAGCUUGCAAGCAGCUCCAGGCAGAAAGUUUGCCUCCCAGGCUGGCUGAGGCUUCACCCUGGCACUUGCUCCUGGUCUCCAUCCAGCCUGAGAGCUACACCCGUUGUCAGCCCUGGGCCCGAUGCACGGCAGCAGACGUGGGUGGCUGGAGUGUGCUCAGCCCCUUCCUCCCCUGGACCAGCACAGCAGCCUCACGCAUCCCAAGGGAGUAGAUGGGUCACCAGUGACUCUCCCCAUUAGCUUCAUUACCAGUGAAUUAGACCCACUGCCCAUUGCCUACAGCCUCCAUCCCCCUUCUCUUCACCAGCCCUUAGAUCAGUGCAUGACACUACUGCGGUUCAAUACACUGUGUGACUUUACCCUCUUCCCAGGAAAUGGGUUUCCAAGCAAGCACACGCUGUGCGUAGUUUAAGGUUUACACAAUCGGGCCCUCUGAGCUGUAUUUUACCCAGGAAACAAUUUCCCCCAGCAGACAAAAUCAUAGGGAAGUGCCUUCUAUAUUAUCCAGCUCCCUGGACAGUCCUCUAUCUGGGAAUUAAUAGCGAUGGUGCAAUUUAGACUGUGGAGCUAGCCUGCCCACCUGAUACAGAUGGAUUAACUGAGUUUUCAGUCCAGCUGCAUACUUGCAGCGUGGCUUUAAUUGAAUUUAGUGCUGGGGGAUGGGAAAGUUUGCAAGCUGAAGUCCCUUCUCCAUCCAGCCAGCACUUAGCAUUAGCUGAGCUGCAGGGUCACACAAGACCUCCAAGGACCAACCUCUGAUUCCCCAUGAGCAUCCUCUCCCACUCUGAAAGGCCCCAAGGAGGGUUUUCCCAGCUGCUGGGAAAUGGCCCUGCACAGAUAACCCCAAGAGCACAAGCAGGGACGAUUGAUCGUCCCGGUCCCAGCCCUCUCUGCCCGGUGCAGAGGCAGAAGACACACCAAGAAGUGAACGGCAUUCGUCAAAGCUCCCUGCCUUGACCUGCUGCGCUCACUGGAGAUUUAGACACCUCACCAGAUAAGAAAUUCCUGCCCAGAGGAGCAUCCCAUCCAUUUACUCCUCUGUGAAAUAUGAACCACCAUCGCCAGAAGGAAAUUUCCAGCAAACAACUUGGAAGUAAACAGACUAUUCCAACUUUUCUCUGAGCCAAAUCUGCAUAUCAAAUGAACUUUCCAAAGAGGAGAUUUUACCGCCUUCAACUCUCCCAUGAAAUAUGAACUUUCAUUUCUACCCAGGAGAACUGUUACAAUCUUUUCUUCAAUGCCUGAUGAAGGGUGUCAGUGCCUGGAAGCUUGCAAUUAAAGAAUUGUUGUUGUUUUGCAAAAAUCUAGUUGGUCUAAUACAAGAUAUCACCUCUACCACGAGUCCAUGUAAAGAUAAAGCGUUCAAGGCCCGUCACCAACAAAGGAGGAAAGUGAAGCCAAUAGCAAACCCCUGGGAGUUUGUAGAAGGAGGACUUCUGAGGACACGGUCUUCUUCAGCCUGUGGACGCCUAAUUGCGGUAGGUGCCGGCAAAUGGACAGCACUGUAUCAGCACGGCACUGGGACUCGCCAAAGGAGCCUUUGAACGGCUCUCAGAGCAUCUGAACACUUGUAAAGUGCUGUCCUUACACUAAUCAGCAUUUCAUUCCUGGCAGCAGAGUGUGUUGGAGCAAACCGGUGUUCGUCCCCCAGCCAUCGUUCUGCAUCAUGAGGAGCCACUGGAUAAUAUAUGCCACGGCCUGGGGGCUCGUUUCUAGAGAAGUUUAAAAGGUCCAAUCCGCCCACCGGGGAAUAAAACAGAGCUGCAAACAAGCUCCUACCCUACCUGGGCCCCGUGCAUCGAUAAUGUGGGAACCCAGAGCUUCGCGUUUCACCUUGCUAAUCUCAGAAAUCGGAGGCCUGUGCUUGAUGGUGUUCCAGCUGGCGGACUCCGACCCUAAAUGUGAACUUGAUGAAACGUGUGUCGGUCACCACGAGGAAAACCUCAGCACCUGGUAUGUCUGGUUCCUGAUGUUGUUUGUCCUGGGCCUGAUCCUGUCCUGCGGGAUCCUCCUCUGCCUGCAGUGCUGGCUCGAGCAGCGGAGCCGGCUGCCUUCCCGGCGCGCCCUGGCUGUGUUUGCCCUCAGUGAUGCCGACACUUUUUGUGCCAGCACGAUGUCUCGGUGCCCCUGGUCUGAAGCUCGUACCCACCCUGCACAUCCAGAGCCAUGCUCUGCUCCCCUGCCCCCUUUCCACACCACGGGACCUGGGUCCCCUCCUUCCUAUGAGGAUACCAUGAAGACACAUGAGCACUGAGGCCCAGCUCUGGUGCCUUGAGGAUGCUCCUGGCUUCCAUGCAGGUGUUUCGAACCCAGGCCCUUCCCCGACUCUGCCGUGAGAACAGCAAGGAGGAAGCACCGAACUGCAAACUACAAAGGGACACAACACACAAAUGGCCCUGGCCUUUCAUGCUUGCCCGGAGCAGAUUUUCCUGUGCAAUGCAAACUUGCUCCAGACAUCCUACUUUGGGUCAAUCUGGAUCCGUCCAUGGGGGGGGGGGAGAGGGGUCUCAUUUUGGCUCAGCUGCAAAAUUUGGCCUCUUAUGGCUGCUUGAACCUAUAUUGCACCUCUGUGAAGUGAAGGCUGAUGAAUGGCUCGGUAGCUUCAAGCUGGCAUGGCUUCCUUUGCCUGGCACGGGGGCAGCAGGGCACUGCUGGGAAGAGCCCCAGGGUUGUAAUGUGCAGGGCAAUGCCGAGGUGCUGCAUACGGAGGAGGGACCGUCUGUCUCCUCUGAAGCACUUAGCACGGUUUAGAAGGUGCAGGCAGGCUUGCUGGGUUUGCAACAAGGGCCAAACUGGGGGGUGGUUUGGGGUCUUUUGCUCUGUGCAGAUGCUCUGGAUUUCAGUGUCAGCCCCGUGGACCCCAAAGGGGUGGUGACUUGUGUUGACACCCUGUGAGCUGGGCCAGCUCCACCGUCCACACAAGAGACCCACAGACAACCCAGCAGCUCACUUCUCCAGGGCCACGUCAUUGCUACCCUGGCUAGAGCAGGCUGCAGGGGCUCGGAGGCCUUUCCCCCCUGCCGCAAACACCCACUUAUCUCCUAUGGCUCCAUCCAGCUGUGCUCCCUCAGCUCUUCCUGGGAGCUAUCUAGUUGGCCUGGCCACUUCCACAGCUGGAGCUCUAGGAUUUGGGGGUGGAUUGAGUAAUGAGAAUGGUUCAUUGUUUCUCUAAUACUGGACAUGGGAUCCAGACAUAAGACUAUGAAUAGCCAUUGCCUGGGUCACACCCUAGGUCCUUCUUGCCCAGCCUCCUGUGUCACACAGGGCAUGUCUACAUGUGCAUUUAUGCUGGCUUAAAUUUACUGCGCAGUAAAUUACUGCACAGUAAGUGGAAUAGGCAGGCCUCCACACAUGCAGACAUUAAAGCGCAUUAACACUGCAUGUGCACUGACUUGGGACUAAAACUAGUCCCAGGUCAGUCCACACUCACAGUGUUACUGCACGGCAAGGCGUCCACACAUGCAUUACUGUGCAGUAAAUAAUUGGGUGUAAAUUUGAUACCUGCAUGAUGUGGAUAUCAAAUUUACACUCAAGUCGGCAUAAGUCACCAUAUUUAUUGUGCAGUAUGGGCAUGCACGUGUAGACGUGCGCCUGUACUGCGCAGUGAUUUUGGUUACUGCGCACUAAAUGUGCACCCCCGGGGUCAGAGAGUGGGUGCUGAACAGGAUGCUGAGUGGCUCCGAUCAGGGUUUUCCUCGCUGUUCCUCUCCCACUUGCACCCUCCCGCAUUUCAGGUCUAGAAGGAUGGCUAGGGCGCUGGAGCUGGACCCGAAACACCUGGCUCCUGCUGCUUGUUAAAUCAGGGACUUCCUUUGCUCCUUCCAAAGACGAGUCAUGCAACCAGCUCUCUGCCCCAGCCCCCAUCUGCACAAGAGAGAGAAGCAGAGCCGGGGGAGCGUAAACCCGUUAGGGAUUUUGCAGAAACAGCCACAGGAUGACGGCACGGUCCGAGAGAAGAAAUCUCUGUUCAAGCAAAUGAUCCCCAUCAAACCUUCUGUUAGCAGCUGCUCAAACGCUUGACUCAUGCACAGGAGGUCAUAAACACGGCUGUAGCAAAACCGGCGUCUGUGCCUGGGGUGAGAGUACAAGCACUACGACUAGCAAGAAGAAUUCAUGUGCACAGGACCCAGAAAGGCAACACUAGUGGUGUUCACAGGGUCACAGUCACAGCUUCAAGAGCCCCGAGCUCUUCUCACCCUCAACGCGCUCACCCCCAGGCCUCUCUGCUCUAUCACCGCGUCUCUCUUGAGCGGCCUCUUGCCCUCAACAGGAGCUGGAGGUGGCCCUGCUCUCUCAGGAUCGGGCCCAGUGUGUCACCUCCUCCGCGCCACCCCGUCCAGUUUAUGCCCUGAAGCUCGAUCCUAAAUGACACUUGUCAUCAGAGCUUGCAUUGCCUCGGAGUGGGCAUUAAAUUUACACAUCGUUUCCUGUAAGCCAGCCAGCACAUUUGCCGCAACGACCCCUGGCAGCGAGGAGCUCCACAGGUUGUCUGCAUUACAUGCUGCAUAAAACACGAUUGUCUGCUGCUUAUUAAUUGCUUGGUUCAAAAUAUGUCCCUGCCUUUUUAAUUUCACCAGAAGUCACCUUCCGAUUAUAUUACUGGAGCGGCUAACGAGCCCCAAGCUUUCAUGCCCCAAGCUUCAUCGGUCGGAGUCCCUGCACCCCGAGGUUCAGGAAUAGGAGCCUGCCAAAUUUUGCCAAAAAGGCUUCAAAAUGCCCAGCUGGGGGGCAAUAUAUAAUGAGUAAUCAGAGAGGAAGUCGGGUGUCCAUCAACAUUAAAAGGGAAGUUUACAAAACA